UACGAGGGGUGCAAGCGUUAUUCGAAAUUACUGGGCGUAUAGGGUGCGCAGGCGGCGUGCUAAGUCAACCGUUAAAGACCUCGGCCUAACCGAGGAAAGGCGGUAGAUACUAGUAUGCUAGAGGGUGGAAGAGAGAAGUGGAAUUCUUGGAGUAGCGGUAAAAUGCGUAGAUCCCAAGAGGAACACCAAUGGCGAAGGCAGCUUCUUGGUCCAUUUCUGACGCUCAUGCACGAAAGCGUGGGGAGCAAACAGG
rnacentral:misc_RNA from 1 species